rnacentral:rRNA from 1 species
CUCGUAGGCGGUUCGUCGCGUCCGGUGUGAAAGUCCAUCGCUUAACGGUGGAUCCGCGCCGGGUACGGGCGGGCUUGAGUGCGGUAGGGGAGACUGGAAUUCCCGGUGUAACGGUGGAAUGUGUAGACAUCGGGAAGAACACCAAUGGCGAAGGCAGGUCUCUGGGCCGUCACUGACGCUGAGGAGCGAAAGCGUGGGGAGCGAACA